UUCCUGUUGGCUCAGAGGUUAAAGCACAUGCCUCCAAUGCAGGAGACCCAGGUUUGAUCCCUGGGUCGGGAA
rnacentral:tRNA from 1 species